rnacentral:rRNA from 1 species
GACGAACCGUCCAAACGUUAUUCGGAUUUACUGGGCUUAAAGGGUGCGUAGGCGGCUCAGUAAGUAGGGUGUGAAAGCCCUCGGCUCAACCGAGGAAUUGCGCCCUAAACUACUGGGCUCGAGGAACGCAGAGGUAAGCGGAACUUAGGGUGGAGCGGUGAAAUGCGUUGAUAUCCUAAGGAACACCAGGAGCGAAAGCGGCUUACUGGGCGUUUUCUGACGCUGAGGCACGAAAGCCAGGGGAGCAAACGGG